rnacentral:rRNA from 1 species
UAAGAAGGUUUUCGGAUCGUAAAGCUCUGUCUUCAGGGACGAAUGUGCUUUUUGUGAAUAAUGAGGAGCAAUGACGGUACCUGAGGAGGAAGCCACGGCUAACUACGUGCCAGCAGCCGCGGUAAUACGUAGGUGGCGAGCGUUGUCCGGAAUUAUUGGGCGUAAAGGGCGCGUAGGCGGAAAUAUCAGUCUGUCUUAAAAGUGCGGGGCUCAACCCCGUGAUGGGAUGGAAACUAUAUUUCUUGAGUGCAGGAGAGGAAAGUGGAAUUCCUAGUGUAGCGGUGAAAUGCGUAGAUAUUAGGAGGAACACCAGUGGCGAAGGCGACUUUCUGGACUGUGUCUGACGCUGAGGCGCGAAAGCCAGGGGAGUGAACGGGAUUAGAUACCCCGGUAAUCCUGGCCCGUAAACGAUGGGUACUAGGUGUAGGAGGUAUCGACCCCUUCUGUGCCCGGAGUUAACGCAAUAAGUACCCCGCCUGGGGAGUACGGCCGCAAGGUUGAAACUCAAAGGAAUUGACGGGGGCCCGCACAAGCGGUGGAGUAUGUGGUUUAAUUCGACGCAACGCGAAGAACCUUACCAGGAUUUGACAUUGAGUGAAAGACCUAGAGAUAGGUCCCUCCCUUCGGGGACACAAAAACAAGUGGGUGCAUGGCUGUCGUCAACUCGUGUCGUGAGAUGUUGGGUUAAGU